UUUAAGUUAUAAUGUUGGGUACUUUAAUGUUCGGUUGGAGACUGAAUUUCUGUUGGCCGGGCCUAGAAGACUUUGAUUGCAUAUGCUAUUUUAAAGAAGCUUCAUCUAAGCUUGAAUACAAACUUGUUUCAGCUUUGGAAUGGGUGCUUCAACUUUUAUGGUAAUGCUGAUGAAGGUACGGACUUAUUGGAAAUUUCCUAUUAUUCUUUGCAAAUUUAUUUAUGCCUGGGUCUUUUUGUUGUUUAGUGAUUAUUUUGUAAGUUGAAAGCUUAGUUAGAUUGGUACAUCUGGUUUCGGAUUUCUCACUAAUUGUUUUCAAAUCAAAUCAUCACCUGGUUCUGCCUAGUGCAGAUUAUCAAUAUUAUGACUUGAAGGGUAACCUGAAGGUUGUUCUAUGGCGGUCUGAACUAAAACUAAGGUUCUAUAAUGAUCCAAACUAAACAAACAAUAAGCACAUCUGGUACGUAGUUAAAGGUUAUUAAAGGAAGAGAAGAAGAGAAUAAUUUGAGAUAGCCUUGGAGUCUGGAUUGGCUCCAAGAUUUGGAAAAGAGGGGAUGAGUUAGCCACUGGAGCAGAAAAGACAGAGACUCAACAGUGGGUUCAAAAUCUGCUCGAUGAGAAAUGUACGAUCUUCUGGCAUGCAUACAAGAGGUUUAAGCUUCUCUGCAAUUAUUCUGUUGUGCUAUGUCUAUUUCCCUGCAUCUCAUUUUCUCUAACACGUUUCUCUAUGUCUCCACAAAAGGGUUCUGAAUAUUUUAAGUACUUUUUCAGUUGAUGUAAGAAUUUUUCUGAGUCAUCACACAGAUGCUUUCAUUAAGCCUAGAUAAAUUUUAAAAAGAUACUAUUUGUGUAGUUUUCUGUAAGGAUAUCAUUGGUGCUGGUGUAUAAUAAUCUAGAACGAUUAUAUCUCCACGUGUAAUCAAAUACAUUUAUAAACGUAAACUACAAUAAUUAA